AAGCAGGCCGGCGACAACCGCUUCCGGUCAGAGCGAGCCUCGGGUUCUCACUGGGAUCCUCGAUUCCAGCUCCGCCCCAACCCCUGGCACGGCCCUGGCCCUGGCCCUAGCCCCGGGCAAAAGAGGAGGCUGGAUGGCGAACGCGUUCACUCUACAUGCUUUUAUUACAAGACUACCGAGCAUACGAGGAAAAUCCAUCAUCCGAAGCAGAUUCAGUACCAUUGUGGACACGAAGUACAAGAUUCUGAAAACAUCACCAAGCACUUGGAAGCCAUAGCAGCAAAGAUGGAAGAGAAGUAACAUGAAUGACCAGAUUCUUGCACUGAAAAUGAAGAAACUGGCUUAUGGAAAAAUCUGUCUCAAAUGGAUCUGCAGUAAUGAAAUUUGAGUAUUAAAAAAAAAAAAAAGAGCGGUCAUAGUCAAACUUUCUUGGGAAUACACAGCUUAGCAGAAAU